rnacentral:rRNA from 1 species
UACGGAGGGAGCUAGCGUUGUCCGGAAUUAUUGGGCGUAAAGAGCUCGUAGGCGGCCUGUCACGUCCGCUGUGAAAUCCCGGGGCUCAACCCCGGGCCUGCAGUGGAUACGGGCUGGCUGGAGGCAGGCAGGGGAGAACGGAAUUCCUGGUGUAGCGGUGAAAUGCGCAGAUAUCAGGAGGAACACCGGUGGCGAAGGCGGUUCUCUGGGCCUGUACUGACGCUGAGGAGCGAAAGCGUGGGGAGCGAACAGG